UGUUCUCGCGGACGAACAGGGUGUAGGAGGUUUGGGUGAAGGCGGGGGCGUUGUCAUUGACGUCAGAGACCAGCACGGUUAUGUUGUACUCGGUUUUCAGCCUGGGUGUCCCCAAGUCUGUGACGGUGAUCGUGAUGUUGUACUCGGCUUGGCUCUCUCUGUCCAGUGCUUUUUCAGAAACUAGAGUGAAAAAGUUCUUGAAGGUCGGUUUCAGGAAAAAAGGGAGGUUAUCUUGAAUAGAGCAAAUCAUCCUCCCAUUGUCUCCAGAGUCUUGGUCUAGGAUACUAAAAAGAGCUACUAGGGUCUCUGAGGCAUUCUCUGGAAUUCUCUUUGUAAUCGACGAUAUGGUCACUUCUGGUGGGUUGUCGUUUAUAUCCAUAACUUUAACUAGAAGGGUGCAUUUUCCUGAAAGACCCCCACCAUCUGUUGCCUGAAUAUUUAUAGUGUAGGACUGUAUUACUUCAAAAUCCAGGGGUGAUCUCAAAUUAACUUCCCCAGAUAUUGGAUUAAUUUCAAAUGUUUUACGAAUAUCUUCCGAUGCAUGGAAAAAUGUGUAAGAUAUUUUUCCAUAGUUUCCUGCAUCCAGAUCCUUAGCUGAGAUGGUGGCAAUCCAGGAGCCAAGGGGUCUGUCCUCAGGGACUUGCACCUCAUAGAGACUCUGAGGAAACUCAGGAGCAUUAUCAUUGAUGUCCAACACCUUGAUGAGAACCAAAGUUGUCCCAGACUUGGGCGGGGAUCCACCAUCCACUGCUGUGAGUGUUAAUCUGAGUUCAGCUUCCUGUUCAUAAUCUAAAGCUCUAUCUAGGACCAGCUCUGGGUAUAUCUUUCUGUCACUACUGUCUGGAAUUUUAAUGUAGAAGUGAGAAUUGGGGCUAAUUGUGUAGUUUUGGAGACUGUUGCUUCCGACAUCCAAAUCUUGAGCACUCUCCAUUAGAAAUGUAGCUCCAACAGUGGUACCUUCUGAUAUUUUAAUAAGUAUUUCCUUGUCUAGGAAUGUAGGGGAGUGAUCAUUUAUGUCUUUGACACGCAGCUCAACCCGAAAAAACUGUAAAGGGUUUUCCAAAACCACCUGAAAAUGCAGCACACAGGGCUCGGUGGAGCCACACAGCUCGUCUCGGUCUAGUUUCUCAUUUAGGAGCAAAUUCCCAGUCAGCAAAUCAAGGUGCAAAUACUUUUUAUUAUCAUCAGACACUACCCGGGCUUCACGUGAAGACAGCUCCUCCACCCCCAGCCCUAGGUCCCUCGCUAGAUUAGCCACAAAAGAGCCAAUUUCUGUUUCCUCUGCCACAGAAUAGUGUGCAGAUUCAGUACCUGCCCGAGACAAUCCCAGCAAAACAAGGAAUAUUAGAACUUGCCUUUUUCGCAGAUCGAGUGCCCCUCUGAUCUCCAUGGUUCCUUUAGGCAAUCUCUUGUGGAAAAAUUGAAGCUCAGCCGUAAUUUCGGAAGCUGAAGCUCUGGUUUUUAACAGGAACCCCCUGGAGAGUGUAUCCUCCAGCAGCUCUGUAGGCGAAGCUCCUUUAAUGCCUGUCUUUUCAGUGGGUUGGAUGCUUUCUGUUCUCCUGAAUAGCGAAGCUCACCGUGCCAGCCUAUGUACCGUUUUCGUCUUAUCCUGUAGCGCCACCAUGUGUCUCCAUGUUUUUUUUUUUCAUUAAAAAAGUUUUCCUCUUUGAAAAAGU
rnacentral:lncRNA from 1 species